GCUGCAGUAGCUCAGUUGGUUGAGUGCCAAACUUAUAAACCAAAGGUAAUGGGUUAGAUACCCACCCAGGAUCAGCUGCAACA